AUAAAACUAGGGAAUGAAGUUCUCCCAUGGCAAGCCAAAACCGCUGAUAGAGCUGAUGACUUCUGUGACAAC
rfam:Clostridium sp. CAG:299 genomic scaffold, scf326